CUUGACAAUAUGUGUGGGUUUAUUUUUGAGCUCUUCAUUCUGUUCCAUUAGUCUAUGUGUCUGCUUUUAUGCCAGUACCAUAGUGCUUCAAAGCAUACAGUUUUGUAAUAU